rnacentral:rRNA from 1 species
UACGGGGGGGGCAAGCGUUGUUCGGAAUUACUGGGCGUAAAGGGCUCGUAGGCGGCCAACUAAGUCAGACGUGAAAUCCCUCGGCUUAACCGGGGAACUGCGUCUGAUACUGGAUGGCUUGAGAUUGGGAGAGGGAUGCGGAAUUCCAGGUGUAGCGGUGAAAUGCGUAGAUAUCUGGAGGAACACCGGUGGCGAAGGCAGGUCACUGGGCCGCAACUGACGCUGAGGAGCGAAAGCAUGGGGAGCGAACAGG